rnacentral:rRNA from 1 species
GAUGAACGCUGACAGAAUGCUUAACACAUGCAAGUCUACUUGAAUUUGGGUUUUUGACUUAGGUUUGGGUGGCGGACGGGUGAGUAACGCGUAAAGAACUUGCCUCACAGCUAGGGACAACAUUUAGAAAUGAAUGCUAAUACCUAAUAUUAUGAUAAUAGGGCAUCCUAUAAUUAUGAAAGCUAUAUGCGCUGUGAGAGAGCUUUGCGUCCUAUUAGCUAGUUGGUAAGGUAAAGGCUUACCAAGGCGAUGAUAGGUAGCCGGCCUGAGAGGGUGGACGGCCACAAGGGGACUGAGAUACGGCCCUUACUCCUACGGGAGGCAGCAGUGGGGAAUAUUGGACAAUGGAGGAAACUCUGAUCCAGCAAUUCUGUGUGUGUGAAGAAGGUCUUCGGAUUGUAAAACACUUUUAGUUGGGAAGAAACAAAUGACGGUACCAAC